GGACAUGCUGUGUUUUAUCUGGAAACCUAACCAUGGAAGAGAAUGAAGCUUGCAUGGAGACAGAGUUCUCCUUUGAGGGGAGUAGCGAACUGUGGGAAGUCUUUGGAAGAAGUAGAACAUUGAUGGGAAUUCAGAGGCGAAGCUUCCCAUGAGCCCCUGGGAAGCCGGAAGCAGGCACAGGUCUCCUUCCUGGAUGCUGGGGCUUUCCAUCUGGCUCAGUGGUAAAGAACCCGAGUACCAGUGAAGAACAUGCAGGAGAUGCGGGUU